ACUCCUACGGGAGGCAGCAGUAGGGAAUCUUCCGCAAUGGACGAAAGUCUGACGGAGCAACGCCGCGUGAGUGAUGAAGGCUUUCGGGUCGUAAAACUCUGUUGUUAGGGAAGAACAAGUACGAGAGUAACUGCUCGUACCUUGACGGUACCUAACCAGAAAGCCACGGCUAACUACGUGCCAGCAGCCGCGGUAAUA
rnacentral:rRNA from 1 species